UACAGGGGGGGGCAAGCGUUGUUCGGAAUUACUGGGCGUAAAGGGUUCGUAGGUGGCUUGCUAAGUCACACGUGAAAUCCCUCAGCUUAACUGGGGAACUGCGUGUGAAACUGGCGAGCUUGAGGGUAGGAGAGGAAUGCGGAAUUCCAGGUGUAGCGGUGAAAUGCGUAGAUAUCUGGAGGAACACCGGUGGCGAAGGCGGCAUUCUGGACUAUUUCUGACACUGAUGAACGAAAGCCAGGGGAGCAAACGGGG
rnacentral:rRNA from 1 species